UAGGGAAUCUUCCGCAAUGGACGAAAGUCUGACGGAGCAACGCCGCGUGAGUGAAGAAGGAUUUCGGUUCGUAAAACUCUGUUGUUAGGGAAGAAAAAAUGUAUAGUAACUAUAUACAAAAGAGACGGUACCUAACCAGAAAGCCACGGCUAACUACGUGCCAGCAGCCGCGGUAAUACGUAGGUGGCAAGCGUUGUCCGGAAUUAUUGGGCGUAAAGCGCGCGCAGGUGGCUUAGAAAGUCUGAUGUGAAAGCCCACGGCUCAACCGUGGAGGGUCAUUGGAAACUAAUAAACUUGAGUGCAGGAGAGAAAAGUGGAAUUCCUAGUGUAGCGGUGAAAUGCGUAGAGAUUAGGAGGAACACCGGUGGCGAAAGCGGCUUUUUGGCCUGCAACUGACACUGAGGCGCGAAAGCGUGGGGAGCAAACAGG
rnacentral:rRNA from 1 species